CUUGAAUGGAUCAAAGGCAAGCUCCCAUUCGUUCACUAUUGAAGCUAUGGCUGUAGUUCACUUUCUAGAUCGCAGAAGGGAUUCGGAGUUCCAGGCCAAAGGUGACAAAUGACAUGUAAUCCACCCCAGCUGAGAACAAGUCAGUGGUGAGAUUUCUGUGAGGACACUUGAGAUCCACCAGCUCCUAACCACUCCUCAAGCAGAUCGCAGAAGCACGAGCAAGCCCAGAUAUGACCCUUGGAGUUGAAAGUCAAAUAAUUGGCUGUUGUUUUAAGCUUCCAAGUUUUACUUGG
rnacentral:lncRNA from 1 species